CCUACGGGGCGCACCAGUGGGGAAUAUUGCACAAUGGGCGCAAGCCUGAUGCAGCCACGCCGCGUGUGUGAAGAAGGCCUUCGGGUUGUAAAGCACUUUCAGCGGGGAGGAAGGCGUUAAGGUUAAUAACCUCAUCGAUUGACGUUACCCGCAGAAGAAGCACCGGCUAACUCCGUGCCAGCAGCCGCGGUAAUACGGAGGGUGCAAGCGCUAAUCGGAAUUACUGGGCGUAAAGCGCACGCAGGCGGUCUGUCAAGUCGGAUGUGAAAUCCCCGGGCUCAACCUGGGAACUGCAUUCGAAACUGGCAGGCUAGAGUCUUGUAGAGGGGGGUAGAAUUCCAGGUGUAGCGGUGAAAUGCGUAGAGAUCUGGAGGAAUACCGGUGGCGAAGGCGGCCCCCUGGACAGAGACUGACGCUCAGGUGCGAAAGCGGGGGAGCAAACAGGAUUAGAUACCCUCGUAGUC
rnacentral:rRNA from 1 species